CGGUAAAAGAGAGUACGCUUCGAAGUCAAGAAUACGCCUUUUACCGCUCACUAGAGCGAGCGAGCGAGAGUCCCUUGCCCAAGCCGCCGGACGGCCCCCCACCCCGCCGCCGUGCCGACUGCCGACUGCCGACGUGCCGGACGGGCGGCGGCCACCGGCGGGUGGCUUCGGCGAGCGUCCGCAUUGGUGCGGCAGGAGUAGCGCGGGCUUCCGGCUCCGAACUCAGACGCGGAUUCGACGGGAGGGCUCUGCGGCAGGGAUGGAGGGAGGGAGGGAGGCUUCAGCGAGCGUCCGCGUCAGCAGCGGCGGUGGCCACGCGGUUCCUCCCGUAGCCGCGGGCUUCCGGCGCCGAGGCUCCGUCCCGCGGACUCGGCGGGAGAGGUCCGUGCGGCGCGGCGACCCGUGGUGAACGCCGGUGCUGGUGAAUUCGAACCGGUUCGUCGCGACGGCCGCGAUUCUGCUCGGCGGCGGCUGGUCGCCGGCUCGCGUUUGGAUCUGGGGAGCGGAUCGAGCCGCGCCAACACAAGGGGAUCCAUUCCACGCCCACCACAGUAAACGGUGUAAUCUGAAGUUGAAAGCAGGCAGGAGAAGAAACCAUAACAGAUUAGCCUGUUGGAGCCUACACACUCCUUAAAAUUCCACAAGGAAAUGAGUGAUUUGGUAUCGGUGGUAACGUGAGGGAGAAUGAAUCAUCGUAGAUUGGGUGGUUGAAGCCUACACUUUUUUUUUAAAAUCAUCAAGUACUACAGUGAGGUGUUCCAGGUGGUCACCUGUAGGCACAGAAGUUUUGAAGACUUCUGUUGAAACUAAAAGUUGGAGCUGCUACACAAGGUGAAAUUCGGAACCCACCUGCAGGAAACGAGGUGAUCUGGCGUUUUUGGUAACAUACAGGAGUACUCCCUCCGUUCCGAAUUACUUGUCUUGGAUUUGUCUAGAUACGGAUGUAUCUAGACUCAUUUUAGUGCUGGAUACCUCCGUAUCUAGACAAAUCUAAGACAAGUAAUUUGGAACGGAGGGAGUAGGAAUCAUCACAGACUGGCCAGUUGGGGCCUACCCUUAAUAGAAAAUUAACAAGGUGAGCACAAACCGGUUCCGGCUCAUUUGAGAAGAAAUCUGGAGCCUACACAAUACACUCUCAUUCGCCACUGUGUUAACUUGUUGCAUUGCCAGAGUGGUGAUUUUUAGUUUGUUCAGUUGGAGCAUAUCAACAUUCACGUGUUCACCUAGAAGAAUACAUUUAUGUUAUGAGGGGCAUCAGGAGACGAGGAGCGAAUGAUGAGUUUUGAGGUUCUAAACAUUGUGAUGAGUUUCUAGCUGGAUGGUCAAGGUGGUUUGGUUGGGCCUAUUUACCUCUGGGCCCAGGAAAAUGCAUACCAUCCGGCAUAUGACCCAGCCUGAAGCUCUGACGAUAUAUUGCUGUCGAAACAUAGUUGCAGAGAAAGAAGGAUAUAUAUGGACUCAGUUGGCAAUUAAGAAUUUUUAUCUCUUCGCUUCGUCGGAAGCUUCUCCAAAUCGAUGCUACUGCUCCUAUUUUAUCAUUCGGCUAUCGAAGGUUGACUGACAAACAUUUGGCUCCUGUUGGUUUUCCGAAAAGUAAAAUGAGGCACAUGAAGCUAAGCGGAUCAAAAUUGUCUAAACAAACGCCAUCUCCUGGACAAGUUAUGAUCGCUGCUGCUUGAGAACAAUGGUUGUUCGGUGACGGUGGCAGCAAAAGAGAGCUAACAAUGCGACGAGUGAAAUGCGGGCUUCCGGCACUAAGGCUCUGUCGUGCGAACCGCGGUGACCCUGGCCGAGAGGGAGGGCUCCAUGUGGCGUGGAGACUGGCGGUGAACGCCAGCGCUGGUGAAUUUGGAUCAGUUCGUAGUGACGCCGCCGAGUCUGCUCAGUGGCAGCUAGUCACCAGCUCAUGAUUGGAUCGGCAGUGCGUAUUGACCCACGGAAUUGGGAGACACUCAUUCCCCACCCAGCACAGGAAAUGAAGUAAUCAACAGGGUGAUUAGCUUGGCUGGUUGGAGGGCAAGGAACCCUCGCAGAUUGGCUGGUUGGAGGGCAAGUUUUCCUUUGAAGUCAACAAGGUCAUCUUUUUGAGGCAAAAAUGCAUUCAGGUGUUGAUGAUCUUCUAGCUUUUUUUUAAGGGCCGGGAGGUCUGGUUGGGCCCAUUUUUCACUGGACCUGACAAGCUAUCCGGCCUUGAAAUUUUGGUCUCAGAUUAGAGAAAAUAACACUGAUGCCUUCUGAAAAACAAAAAGCAAUCACUGAUGCUUCCCUAAAAAAAUCACUGGUGACAUGUUGGUGUGGAAACAGUGUUGCAAAAACAAAAGGCUUUGGUUAUCAGUUGGGUAGCCAAAGAGAGCUUCUAUUUUCCUUUUGUAAAGAAGGAUCAGAACAGAAAAAUGUAUACAGCCUUCUAGCUAGACGGGCCGAGAUGUCCAGUUGGGCCUAUCUAUCACUGGGCCCUACAAACCAUCCAGGCCAUCCCGGCCUGGCCCAACUUAAUAUGGGCCUCAAAAUUUCGUCUCAGUGAGAGAAAAAAACAAAAUUACAUGGGCCAUCCCGGCUUGUACUUCUCUUGUAAAAAAAAAUCACUAGUGCCAUGUUGGUGUAGAAACGGUGUGGCAAAGACAAAAACGCCAUGGAAUCAGUUGGCUAGCUAAGAGAGCUUGUACUUUUCUGUCAAAAAAAGGAUCGGAAUAGAAUACGAUACAAUAUAAAAUAUAAAAUCGGGCCGGCGAUGCCAGUGGGACUUGGCUCGAGUGACCAGGAAGACGACACUUGGAGCAAAACAACAACAGUCCUUAGUCUGUCUCUUAAUUUGGCCGUACACAUCAAACAGCUCGCUCCUCGCUGUAUUACUAUGCUAAACAAUCAAUACCAUACAGUUUUGGACUUUGUCUCCUCCCCUCUGCUUAAUCAGCACCUUCGUAUUUUGCA